rnacentral:rRNA from 1 species
GUCCUUUAGUACGAGAGGAACAGGGACUCGUAGCCUCUAGUCCAUCAGUUGUCUGGCAAGGCACUGCUGAGCAGCCACGCUAUAAUGGAUAAGAGCUGAAAGCAUCUAAGCUCGAAACUACCCCGAAAAAGAGGCAUCUUAGGACAUCCGUAACUGACGGGUUUGAUAGGACAGGGGUGUAAGU